rnacentral:rRNA from 1 species
CCCUUAGAUGUUCGGAGCUGCACGCGCGCUACACUGAAGGAAGCAGCGUGUUAGGACACCUGGCUCGAAAGAGCUGGGCAAUCCGGUGAAUGUCCUUCGUGAUUGGGAUAGGGACUUGUAAUUAUUCCCCAUGAACGAGGAAUUCCCAGUAGGCGCGAGUCAUCAGCUCGCGUCGAUUACGUCCCUGCCCUUUGUACACACCGCCCGUCGCUACUACCGAUCGGAUGGUUUAGUGAGACCCUCGGACUGGUCCCGUCGAAGCAGGCGACUGCCUCGACGCGCGCGCCGGGAAGAAGGUCGAACUUGACUAUCUAGAGGAAGUAAAAGUCGUAACA